GUUUACGGACACACCACUCUGAACACAUCUGAUCUCAGAAGCUACGCAGAAUCGGGUCUGGUUAGUACUUGGGUGGGAUACCGCCUGGGAAUCCCAGGUACUGCAAGCU
rnacentral:rRNA from 12 species